UAUGUUACAUUCAUGUCGCAUUUUUAUUCUGAGUGUGAAAACAUUUUGAAAAUUAUUUUAGUAUAAGUUAUAAUUCAUUUCCAUGAUUUGAAAGUUGCGCCAGCGAAUUAUUGGCUGUUUCCGGUAAGACUGAAACAUGGCGUCUUUCCGCCUCAUGUCUCAACUCUGACUAGAGGAACUCUACGUCGAGCUAGGGGAGCGUAGAGGAGUCGUUAUGUCGCGUCGCAACACUCGCAACUCACAUCACGCGAAUCUCGCGAUUCUCGCGUCAUGCAAAGGGAUGAUGUAGCUGACGCGGUGGCUACGGAAUGGACUCGCUCCGGAACAAGUGACGCCACGAUUCAUUUAACUGGACGCGGCGGAUACAGAACGAUUCCGGAACGAAUAGCGUCGCGAAUCAUAUGAUUGCGAAUCGGCUGGAGCAAAAAAUCGAGAUUAGGACCAUUAAUCGCUUUCAUUUUCUGAUCGCUGAUAUAACAACUUGAGAGGAGGAGGAGACCUAGGAGAGGCAUCGGGCUCCAGCGGAGCAACCUUGGGUAUCAUCGCAGCUUCGUGGCAGAUGACUCCGCUCGUUGCGAAUCGGAUUGGUACUGGACAUCCCGCCAUUCUCUGGAAUAUUUAGUUUAGUUGUAAUACUUAUAC